UGGGCUUGACAUGGGAAGGACCAUUCUAAGAGAUUAGAACUUCUGUAGCAAUACAGACCUUCCACAC
rnacentral:rRNA from 1 species